GAAAGGGCUGUAACCACUAAAGG
rnacentral:piRNA from 1 species